AUGACCCUGGGUCCGCGGCAGCUGCUAGCCUGGAGUAGGCAGCAGCAGCCGCAGGUGAUCACUGGAGGUCAUUAUGAUGUUGACUGUCAGUUGGAAGGUCCUGAUGGUGCUGUAUUAUACAAAGAGAUGAAGAAACAAUAUGAUAACUUCACAUUUACUGCAUCCAGAAAUGGAACAUACAAAUUCUGCUUUAGCAAUGAGUUCUCUACUUUCACACACAAAACUGUGUACUUUGAUUUCCAGGUUGGAGAAGAUCCACCACUGUUCCCUAGUGAGAACAGAGCAACUGCACUUAGGUAAAAUAUUAUGGAGUCUGCGUGUGUUUCAAUUCAUGAAGCUCUGAAGUCUGUCAUUGAUUAUCAGACUCAUUUCCGGUUGAGAGAAGCACAAGGCCACAGCAGAGCAGAGGAUUUAAACACAAGAUUAGCCCAUUGGUCAAUAGGGGAGGCAAUCAUUCUUCUUGUAGUUAGUAUUGGGCAGGUGUUUCUCCUCAAAAGCUUCUUCUCUGAUAAAAGAACCACAACAACCCAUGUUGCAUAA